UGUAAUGCCGUGCAAGGAGCAGCGGUAAUCCGGGCGGCCCAAAAGUUAUUAGGGUUUACUGGGCGUAAAGAGUUCGGAGGCGGCUGGGAAAGGAGGGUGUGAAAGCCCUCGGCUCAACCGAGGAAUUGCGCUCCAAACUACCGAGCUUGAGGAAGCUAGAGGUGAGCAGAACUGAUGGUGGAGCGGUGAAAUGCGUUGAUAUCAUCAGGAAUACCGGAGGCGAAGGCGGCUCACUGGGACUUUUCUGACGCUGAGGAACGAAAGCUAGGGGAGCAAACGGGAUUAGAUACCCUAGUAGUC
rnacentral:rRNA from 1 species